rnacentral:rRNA from 1 species
GAUCAGGCUCAGGAUGAACGCUAGCUACAGGUUUAACACAUGCAAGUCGAGGGGCAGCAUGGUCUUAGCUUGCUAAGGCCGAUGGCGACCGGCGCACGGGUGAGUAACGCGUAUCCAACCUGCCUUACACUCUUGGACAGCCUUCUGAAAGGGAGAUUAAUACAAGAUGUUAUCAUGAGUAAGCAUUUUCGCAUGAUUAAAGGUUUACCGGUGUAAGAUGGGGAUGCGUUCCA